GAUGAAGAACGUAGCGAAAUGCGAUAAGUAAUGUGAAUUGCAGAAUUCAGUGAAUCAUCGAAUCUUUGAACGCACAUUGCGCCCACUGGUAUUCCGGUGGGCAUGCCUGUUCGAGCGUCAUUAUCCUCCCUCAAACCCCGGGUUUGGUGUUGGACCCAAGUUGUGUGAACAACUGGUCUCAAAGACAAUGACGGCGUCCGUGGGACCCUCGGUGCAACGAGCUUUUAGGAGCACGCAUCGAGUUGCAAGGACCUUCCGGGCCGGUCUCCUUUACCAUUUUACAAGGUUGACCUCGGAUCAGGUAGGAAUACCCGCUGAACUUAAGCAUAUCAAUAAGCGGAGGA
rnacentral:misc_RNA from 1 species